UACGUAGGGCGCAAGCGUUGUCCGGAAUUAUUGGGCGUAAAGAGCUCAUAGGCGGCUUGUCACGUCGGGUGUGAAAGCCCGGGGCUUAACCCCGGGUCUGCAUUCGAUACGGGCUAGCUAGAGUGUGGUAGGGGAGAUCGGAAUUCCUGGUGUAGCGGUGAAAUGCGCAGAUAUCAGGAGGAACACCGGUGGCGAAGGCGGUUCUCUGGGCCUGACCUGACGCUGAGGAGCGAAAGCGUGGGGAGCGAACAGG
rnacentral:rRNA from 1 species